rnacentral:rRNA from 1 species
AACGAACGCUGGCGGCGCGUUUUAAGCAUGCAAGUCGAACGGUAGUAGAGUGCUUGCACUCUAUGAGAGUGGCGAACGGGUGAGUAACACGUAGGUGAUCUAUCUUGAGGUCUGGGAUAGCUUGUGGAAACACAGGGUAAUACUGGAUGCGACCUGUGUAUUGAGGUACAUGGGGGAAAGCCGCUUAGGCGGUGCCUUAAGCUGAGCCUGCGUCUCAUUAGUUAGUUGGUGGGGUAAUGGCUUACCAAGGCGACGAUGAGUAGCCGGCCUGAGAGGGUGAUCGGCCACACUGGGACUGAGACACGGCCCAGACUCCUACGGGAGGCAGCAGCUAAGAAUCUUCCGCAAUGGGGGGAACCCUGACGGAGCGACGCCGCGUGGACGAAGAAGGCCGGAAGGUUGUAAAGUCCUUUUCCUGGGGGAGAAUAAGGUAUGGAGGGAAUGCCAUACAGAUGACGUGAACCAGGGAAUAAGCCCCGGCUAAUUACGUGCCAGCAGCCGCGGUAACACGUAAGGGGCGAGCGUUGUUCGGAUUUAUUGGGCGUAAAGGGCGUGUAGGCGGUGAGAUAAGUCUGGUGUGAAAGAUCCCGGCUCAACCGGGAGAGCGCGCUGGAAACUGUCUUACUUGAGUGAUGGAGGGGGAGCUGGAAUUCCUGGUGUAGGGGUGAAAUCUGUAGAGAUCAGGAAGAACACCGGAGCGAAGGCGAGCUCCUGGCCUUUACUGACGCUGA